CCACGGAGACCGAAGGGCUGUGAUUGGUCCAACCCAUGCUGUUUACCUUGUAGAUGGUUCAGUCGUUGUGGACCUUUACCAGUGUCUUGAAAAAACCAUAUUGUUGCAUGGAGCAAAGCUGAUUGGCCAGUUGGAACAGGAAGUUGGGAAACACUAGUUUAAAUAUGUCUCUCUGUUUGUAAUGUGUAAUACAUUUGUAAUUAAAUGCCCACACACACACACACACACUAGUUUAAAUCUGUCUCUCUGUUUGUAAUGUGUAAUACAUUCUGUAAUUAAAUGCCCACACACACACACACUAGUUUAAAUCUGUCUCUCUGUUUGUAAUGUGUAAUACAUUCUGUAAUUAAAUGCCCACACACACACACACUAGUUUAAAUCUGUCUCUCUGUUUGUAAUGUGUAAUACAUUCUGUAAUUAAAUGUAAUACAUCUCUAAAUGAUCAAAA